rnacentral:ribozyme from 1 species
GAGAGCACAGUACGAUGAAAGUUGUAAGCUGUGUUCGGGGGGGAGUUAUUGUCUAUCGUUGGCCUCUAUGGUAGAACCCGUCGGGGAGGCCUGAGAGGC